rnacentral:sRNA from 2 species
AUCCUGCCACCGCCCGAUACCAACGAGACGAACUCACGCAUGGCAGGAGCGGGGGACCCAGGUAAGUCGCCGGGGCGGAACGUCGUAAGACGCACCGCAACGGCUAGGGGUGAAGUCGCGUUCGCAAGGACGCGGCCGGGCAGCUCCCCAGCCCGAACCCGACAGCUCACCUCGCAGGCGCCGGAGAGGAACA